AGCACCUUCUGAACGUAAGCAAGCAUCCGUGGAGCUUGAGCUGCUGCAAUUGGACAGGCGUGAAACACACCCACAGCAGUUCAGGUCUGAAGAUGCAUGCUGAAGUCAUAAGGAGUGUUUCAGCCUGAACUGUGUUUUGAAUGAGGCACAAUAUGGGUCAGCUAGUUUUAACAGGCUCCAGCUACUGUCACUGGGAGUCACUGGGAGUCACUGGUUUCAUCCAACAAUUAUGUUUCCAUAUUAAACCCCCACUUCAAUUACAGUAAUGAUUAGGUUAACCAAAACUAGACACAUGUAAAUACUGCAUUAUAAAGAGUGUUUCCAGAUGUGCAUCCUCUUUAACAAAAGUAAAAACAAGGAACACAGAUGAUUACAGAAAGAGUUGGGUAGCUACAUUUACAGUGUAGAUGUACAGUGUAAUUAUAUAUAGUGUUGAUUGGUUUGUACUUUCCUGAGUAUUUCUGAUUAUAAUACUUUUGUGCACAUUUGUGACAAAAUGGAAUUCACUGUUCAUUCAGUACAUAUCAACCAUACCAUUUAUAGCUGGUGUACAAAAUAACAAAAAAACACAUGAAAUACUCAUGCUCAUCGGCCAUUUUAUCAGAAACACCUACUACAUAGGUGCACUUUGUAAGUACAGUUACUGCUGUAGCCCAAUUGAUGCACAAUUUAGCUACGCAAGGC